UACGUAGGGUGCAAGCGUUAAUCGGAAUUACUGGGCGUAAAGCGUGCGCAGGCGGUUUUGUAAGUCUGACGUGAAAGCCCCGGGCCCAACCUGGGAAUUGCGUUGGAGACUGCAAGGCUUGAAUCUGGCAGAGGGGGGUAGAAUUCCACGUGUAGCAGUGAAAUGCGUAGAGAUGUGGAGGAACACCGAUGGCGAAGGCAGCCCCCUGGGUCAAGAUUGACGCUCAUGCACGAAAGCGUGGGGAGCAAACAGG
rnacentral:rRNA from 1 species